AUACUUACAUGACAGGGGAGAUAUCAUGAUCCCAAAAAUGUUUUUUUCUAGGCCAAAGUUUACCCAUUGUACUCCAGAUGUGCUGAUCCCUGUCAUUUCCCCAAAUGCAGGAAACUUGACUGUAUAAUUUUUGGUAAUAGGGGACUGAUUUGAGAUCACCUCUUA